AAAGAAAAGAGAUUGACAGUUACGGGAUGAGCACUACUUGGCCGUCUGCGUUAAAAAAUAAAAAAAUAAUAAUAAUCAUAAUAAAUAAUGGAGUGGAUUCAAGACAAGAAGUUGGGCCUGGUUAACAAAAGGGCAGCCCCAUUGCUGGCUUUCAAGCAGUCUAUGCCAGAGUACGUGGACCACAUACCAGCUUGUUGGCUCUCUCUGUCACAUUUAGGUGCCCAUAUGGACCUUUCUAUUAACGAAGCUUGGACGGAUAUCUCUGAUAAUCUAUCAAAAAUUACUUCUCGCCAGUUGCACAUUCUAAAUAUCAUCUGUCGAUGCCUGGUCCUAUAUGUGUUGAAGACUGAUGAAAUUAACAGCAAAUUGAACUUUGAAGAACCAACUAGUGCUGCAGAGGAGCAGCCAACUCUGUGGAUAGAGCUACUUUUCAGGAGUGAAAAAGAACUCCGCGAAAGGCUUUUGGUGUUUAGUUUUUCUUCUUUUUUAGCCAAAAGUUUUACUGGCAUCCUGUUGGAGAUGCACAAAUGGAGCAGUGGAUUGAACUUAAUCGUGAUCAUGUCAAUGAUCAACUAAAGUCCUUACAUCAGGAGUUCAAAAACAUAAGAGCAGGUUUGCCCACCUAAACCGUUAUGGUGUUGCAAGUGUUGUAGCAGAUGGGCUUCCAAAUUGGCACCAGAGACUCUUUUUACAAUGCCUGGAUAUCCUGUAGAUUUCAAAUCUUUAACAGAAGCUUGUGUGGUGGAAGAAUUUUCAAAACCAUUGUGUCCCUUUUGUGGGGUACGGCUUCAGAGAUUACAGCCUAAUUUUCUACUUUCAGCAUCGCCGGUGUAAUUAAUCUGUGGUUGUUUCCAUAUAUAGGGUAGACUGAUUGACUAGUUGUUAACGUACAAUAUGAUUAAAUUGAUUAGCUAAUUCUAAUA